ACUUAAUUAGUUUAAUAAAAAACAUUAAAUUGUGGAUUUAAAGAUAUUUAUAUAUAUAUUAGGUC
rnacentral:tRNA from 1 species